GGAGUUAUGAAAUGUAGGAAUGUUAAUAGCAUUUCUAUUUGACUAAGGCUCCAGAGGAAGCCACGGCUAACUCUGUGCCAGCAGCCGCGGUAAUACAGAGGUGGCAAGCGUUGUUCGGAAUUAUUGGGCGUAAAGAGCACGUAGGCGGCCCUGCCAGUCAGUUGUGAAAGCCUCCGCUCAACGGAAGAACGGCAGCUGAUACUACAGGGCUAGAGUACGGGAGGGGAGAGUG
rnacentral:rRNA from 1 species